GGUGCAAUAGGUCAGUUGGUCGAGCGCCGGACUCGUAAUCCAACGGUGGUGGGUUCAAUAUCCGCUUGUGCCA